rnacentral:tRNA from 1 species
GGGGAUGUAGUUCAAACGGUAGAGUGCUUGCUUAGCAUGCAAGAGGUACAGGGUUCGAUACCCCGCAUCUCCA